ensembl:lncRNA
AGCAGGCAUUCCUUUAGAAAUAAACAGGGAUUCUUAAUUCUGCAACAGCUAGACAGAGUGGGGUUACAGUUAGACCCCCUACAGUCAGCAGAAGAGGUCAUCCUUAUCAAGAGCAUCUCAAUUGUACUGCCAUAGUUUUCAAUACAAACAGUCUCCUUUAUCUUAUGGCAGAUGGCCGGCGGUGCCAGGUCCAUCGGUGCCACCAAUGCUUUUAUCAUGCCAUUACACUUUCUACUGACCAUCCACCAAACAGGCAUCACCUUUUGUUUACACCUUUAUCUCUGCAUCUCAGAGGUCAGCUGAAACAAGCCCCACACCUAUAUAAAAUACACUAAUCAGCCACACACACUGAGGGCCGGCUGUGCCAGGUCCAUCGGAGCCACCAAUGCUUUUAUCAAGCCAUUACACUUUCUACUGACCAUCCUCCAAACAGGUUUCACCUUUUGUUUACACCUUUAUCUCUGCAUCUCAGAGGUCAGCUGAAACAAGCCCCACCUAUAUAAAAGGCCAUAAUCAGUCACAUUGUAUUUUUCCUCACUACUUUACAUCGGUCAUUGAGAGCAUAACACUGUUCAUCAGCACGGACAACAACCCUAAGAGCGUUCUUUUUAACAUGGACAGCAUAUAUGGUAGGUAAAACAAGACUAUUAACGGAUUCUUAAAUUUAUACAACUGUAUAUCAAAAAAUAUUCAAACUGUUUUCUCUUCUAAACAAAAGCCUGAUUUUUAGGAACUUGGCACACUGGGACACCCCACGCGGCACUUACACAAGGAUCACAAAGCUAUAUAGGGCAAACAACACCUCUAACUAAGGAGUGCAGGAUGACGUCGGCAUCAACCAUGACGAACAGCCAGAACAUCGCCCAAGCCACACAAGCUCUAGAGCGAGACAUGCAUGCGUGGGACCUCUCAGACUCGGCUCAAGACAUUCCGAUUCAUCCCUGCCAUUCGCCUGUUUGUACGCUUGUACACAGUCGAUGGGACUAAAACACAAUUCAGCAGGAUAGCAGAACACACCAUGACUGAACUGAGAUCAUCACAACAUAUAGUAUGCGCAAUUAACGACAAUAUUGCACAGCUGCUAGAAGCAAGUCAUUAU